GGGCCCAUAGCUUAGCCUGGUUGGAGCGCCCGGCUGAUAGGGGGAUUCCGUGCCGGAAUCCCUUUCCGAAACCGGGAGGUCGUGAGUUCAAAUCUCAUUGGGCCCA
rnacentral:tRNA from 1 species